UUACCAACUUGACAUAUAUGAAAGUCAUACAGGUGGUGCAUGGCUGUCGUCAGCUCGUGUCGUGAGAUGUUGGGUUAAGUCCCGCAACGAGCGCAACCCUAUCUUUGUUGCAAAAUGAAUUUAACUAAGAGACUGCCGGUGAUAAUCGGAGGAAGGUGAGGAUGACGUCAAGUCAGCAUGCCCCUUACGUUGGGCUACACACGUGCUACAAUGGAGGACAAGAGGCAUCGCGAGACAAGCAACCUCAAAACUAUCUUAGUUCGGAUUGCAGGCUGCAACUCGCCUGCAUGAAGGUGGAAUCGCUAGUAAUCGCUGUCAGCAUAAGCGGUGAAUACGUUCCCGGGUCUUGUACACACCGCCCGUCACACCAUGGGAGCUGGUAGCCAAA
rnacentral:rRNA from 1 species